AAAGGCAUAGAGAUAUGCUGGAGGCUAACAUUGAGACAGGUGGUGCAUGGUUGUCGUCAGUUCGUGCCGUGAGGUGUUUGGUUAAGUCCAGUAACGAACGCAACCCUUAUCAUUAGUUACUAACAUUAAGUUGAGGACUCUAAUGAGACUGCUAGUGUAAGCUAGAGGAAGGUGGGGAUGACGUCAAAUCAUCAUGCCCCUUAUGUCCUGGGCUACACACGUGCUACAAUGGCUGAUACAAAGAGUCGCAAUCUCGUGAGGAGGAGCUAAUCUCAUAAAAUCAGUCUCAGUUCGGAUUGAAGGCUGCAACUCGCCUUCAUGAAGCCGGAAUCACUAGUAAUCGCGAAUCAGCUA
rnacentral:rRNA from 1 species